UUAGAGGAAGUAAAAGUCGUAACAAGGUCUCCGUUGGUGAACCAGCGGAGGGAUCAUUACUGAGUUUUUGUACUCUAUAAACCAUGUGUGAACGUAAACUAUCUUGUGAAGAGAUGAACAAAAGCUGCCUUGGUAGUUGGGGGGCCCCUUCUAUAAGGUUUUCCACUACCAGCAGUAUAAGUAAUCUUCUUCACCACUAAAAACCUCUUUUAUUUUUUGUUAGAAAUUUGAUUUCAUUGCUGAGUGGCAUAAACUAUAAAAAGUUAAAACUUUCAACAACGGAUCUCUUGGCUCUAGCAUCGAUGAAGAACGCAGCGAAAUGCGAUAAGUAAUGUGAAUUGCAGAAUUCAGUGAAUCAUCGAAUCUUUGAACGCACAUUGCGCCUGGCAGUAUUCUGCCAGGCAUGCCUGUCCGAGCGUCAUUUCACCACUCAAGAACUCUUUUUUCUUGGUGUUGGAGGUCCUGUUCUCCCCUGAACAGGCCGCCGAAAUGUAUCGGCUGUUAUACUUGCCAACUCCCCUGUGUAGUACAAAAUUUUCCAAUUUUUACACUUUGAAGUUCUGGUGUAGCACGCCGCUAAACCUUCUAUUCUCAACUUCUGUUAGAAUACACUUUUCACAAGGUUGACCUCGGAUCAGGUAGGAAUACCCGCUGAACUUAAGCAUAU
rnacentral:rRNA from 1 species